AAAACCUGUUGAGGACCCCCUGACUGUCAUGAGAAGGGCCACCAAUGUAUCUUGUUUUUUGUCGACAGCUGAGAAAAACUGCUCUAAUGAUGUCUAUAUAAUGAAAGUACCAAGAAUAAUGCAAUGGGUAACAUCAUUGGUUCAAGCAGCUGACUGGUGUCAAAAAUCACAGACAUCUAACAAGCCACUCAUACACGAGGUCCGUCACAGACACUUUAGUCAAUAAUCAUGUGUUGUGUGCGCAUAAUGGAGUGGGUGUUUACAAAACAAGUCAAAAGUCAAUGCUGGGGUUCCAGAGAACGAAAAGUGAAAGAGAGAGCAAGUAAUGGUACUUUGAAACAACUAAUCCUAAUAGCAUUAAAAAGUUAUAGAACAAAAUAUCAAGAGAAAUGUAGAAAUGGGAAUGGGAAUGUGUACAAAGGACUAACUUUUUGUUGUUGGCGUAAAGUAAAAGUGCUACUAAAAUUAAUGGGUUCAAAAUAUGACAGCAUGUAUAUAAUGCGCUGGGGGCGCAAUAUGAAAAUGGUCUUUUCAAAUUAAGUCUAAAGUCUAUGUGGGAGAAAUUAUGAUGCACAGGUGAAAAAACAAAAUGGGGGUUUCAGAGCGCAAAAGACGGAGAGAGAGAGCGUAAUCGUUGUUCUACACUAAUUCACAGGCUAAAAAAUUAUGUUAGGU
rnacentral:sRNA from 1 species